UACGGAGGGUGCGAGCGUUAUCCGGAUUCACUGGGUUUAAAGGGUGCGUAGGCGGGUAUGUAAGUCAGUGGUGAAAUCUCCGUGCUUAACACGGAAACUGCCAUUGAUACUAUGUUUCUUGAAUUUUCUGGAGGUUAGCGGAAUAUGUCAUGUAGCGGUGAAAUGCUUAGAUAUGACAUAGAACACCGAUUGCGAAGGCAGCUAACUACAGGGAUAUUGACACUGAGGCACGAAAGCGUGGGGAUCAAACAGG
rnacentral:rRNA from 1 species